CAUAUCCAAAAUGUAGUUAUGAAUGAAUUAAAAAAUCGAAAAUGAUUGGUUUUCUCCGUAAUUAUGAUGGCCGACCUCAAGCGACCCAAUCACAACUUACAAUGCUUACAAAUUUUACAAUUAGCAUACGCUAAUUCAUUCUUACUGAUGAGUCUCUCUUUGUCGCAUCCACAUCCUCAUUCAUGUCUUGACCUAGCACUUGAUGUUGGAGGAUUUUUUACAGAAAAUUGACAAAAUUGGGUCAUUGGGAGGAAAUAACUAGUGAUUACUGAAUCGUAACUCUUUUAUUUGAAUCACAAAAGAUUUGUUAGAAAAUUUGCUUUGAAGAAACCAUGUCAAAAAUCAUCGCGCAUGCGCUUGCUCUUUCCAGAUUUGACAUUUUGCACUUCAAAAAUGUUUAGAAACCGUUUAGAAAACGACAAAAACUGUGUGGAAACUGUCCCAAUAAAUUGGAAGAAAUUUAUUUUGUAAGAAGCUUUGACCUGGAAAGGCGGUGAAGGUGUCAUGAAAGAAGUCGCUGACAUUUAUUUCGAGCAUUUCUGUUCCAUUUCAAUAUAGAUACCUCCAGUCGUGUAGUAAAUGUGGUCUUUAAGGCCGGAUAUUACAUGCAGUGAGUUCGAUUUCCUCUUCUAGUUUUACUUAUUUUAAGUGCAUCUAACAAGCAGCGAAGCAUGCUUUCGGCGGUGAAAUAUGCAGCUGGGAAUCGACACAAUAGGAAAUAUUCCGGACGGAAUAGUGCUUCGGAAUUAUUUUCAAUCUUUCAACCAGCAAUACCGUGAUGAAGUUUCUGGGAAGAAAAGAGAAUCGGUUUACAAGCAUAAAUAAUCCGGUUAUUUGCUUGUGCUCGAAUUUAGUCAAGUUAAUUGUCAAUAUCUCGUGCUCGGGGAAUGCUUUUUGUUUGGUUUGGAAUCAUAUUAAUGAGUUGGAAUGAAAGCAAGUUCUUACUCUAGUUGAACAAUAAUUGAUUAAGUGGAAAGUCGCUUUAGAAAUGCGACUGUAGCUUUAUACACAAUAAAGUUCGAGCCGGCAAGUUUCUAUGAAGGGAUUUUAGCCUCCCGACUGGAAGAAUUGAGGUUUGGAAAAUUGAAAAUAUAACAACACUGUCUUGGGUUGCACUUUCCCAAACCCGGCCCUCUUCAUUAAGCCGCUUGCUGACUAACUACAAAGCAGGUGUCGUCUUUCUCGUCAUUUACAGCACGUAACCAAACUCAGUGCGUUGUUUUUAAGACGUUGUUUGAAUUUAAUUCCCACAGGGCAUUUAAACUUCCAAUGCCACAAUACCUAUUAUAGACAACUUUGGCGUAAACUUUGCCUUGUCCACCAUUUCUAGUUAAUUUUCUAAUACCGUUGUAAAAUCACUGUAUUCACACAACUACAUUAGCUUUUACCUGUUUGAGUAUUGAGUAAAUAAACUAAUUAAUACACAAACUACAAUACGUUCAAAGAUAAAAGACGAACACAGAUCUCAAAUGAUUUCAUUUAGUUCCAAUAAACUAUUACAUGGCAGUAUUUGUAACUUCGCAUGUAAUAAUAAAUGUUCUACCAGCUGUGUCAGUGGACUGUGGUUAAUAAAGCGACUAUUUAUUAAUUUGUACAAGUCUUCAAGUUAAAUGUAUUAAUCAAAAUCAAUAAAAAAAUUAAAAUUA